CCCGUACUUUUUCUUGUUUAUUUUAAUUUGUCGUAUAAUGUUUGAAACUACGUAUUCGUAUGGUACACAAGUAUUCGCGCUUAGGUUAAGGCUUUGAGGCCAUUAAAAAGGAUUAAGAAAUUUAGAGAAAAUCCAAUUUGGGUCUAGAAAAGUAUUUUUAAAGUAUCAAGGCUUAGGAUAAGCUCGGAAAAUUUUUCCCGAAAGGAUUUGAUGAAGUAUAGGAGAAAUAAGGAUGUUUGAAGAGAUAAUUUUCGGAGUGGGCUUGAGAAAAUUAAAAGGAAAAUGAAAUAGUAGCAGCCCAAGCCCAUUGGCCCAAAAGGAGGGGCAGAUUUGACUUUUCACAAUUAAAUUUGGGAGAGGUAUAAAAGCAAAACUUUCCUCACAAACCCUAGCCUCUCCCUCAUUUCUUUUCAGCUCUUUCUCUCUCUAACCGAGAGCCUCUCUCUCUACAAUCUCACCGGAAAUCGCCGCCGCCGCCGUCGCCGCCGCACCGCCGCCGUCGCCGGAAUCCGGAUUUCAACCAAAAUUUCCAGAUUUUCUUCUCUUCCUUCCCUCUUUCCUUUUCUCCAACCAAAAUCAAGAAAUUUAGCCAUUCAAUCCCCCAAAAACCCUAGAACCCGAAGCUAAAAUUGGGGCUUUUGUGAUUUCUUCUUUCCAAGCUCAAAUCAAGGUAUUUUCCAUCCUAAUCUAGCCUCUAAUCCUUCGAUCUAUACCUAUUUCUUCCUAAAUCCGAGAUUUUAAUUUGGGUUUGUGAUUUUGUUUGCAUGAACCCGAUUUCUCCUUGAACCAUCAAGCUAGGCUAUGGGUUUGGCAAGGAUUUUUGGUGAAGAAGGCCAAGGAGAAGGUAUAUGACGUGGUUUUUGAAGGAGAAAGGGUAAGGAAUGGGUUUUGGACAAACCCUAGAAUUUUUGGAAUUUAUUUGAUUGAUUUGGUUUAUGUUGAGCUAUUGUUGUUGUUGGAAAAAUUGUGAAAUUAGAGAUUUGAGGAUGGAUAAAUUAGUAGGAUUUUAUUAGCAUAAUUUUCUUAGUGUUGGAA